AUGGCCGCCGGCAGCUUGGCAAUGUCCGCACUACUCGCAGCGCUGCUGGCCUGCGUUCGGGUGGCCGUCAUCGCCGGUGGGACCGGCUCACCGUGCUUCGGGGAUAUCUGCGCCAUGGGCACCUGCAAGGAGCUGCAGGUGAUCAUCCCGUUUACCAACAUCUCUCCCUACGAGUGCGAGUGCAACCCCGGGUGGUCUUGGCCCAACGUCACCUUGCCGUUGUCAUCGGCAUUGCCAUUGCCGCCACACCUAUUUCUGUCAUGCACCAUCCCCACAUGUGUAUCGACACCGGAAUUCACCUGCUACAAGCCCAAGCUGCCAAAUGCCGCCAACACAACCCUACUUGACCCCUGCUCAUACAACGAUUGUGGCUCGGAAGGCACGUGCGUGAGGGAAGAGGACCUCCGGUUCCGGUGCCAGUGCAACCCCGGCGCAACCAAUGUGAAAAGCAAACCUUACAUGCCUUGCAUCAAGAACUGUGCCAUCGACGACAAGGGCUGCCCAGUUUCCUCUUCAACGGCGCCACCUGGCUCUGUUUCUUUGAAGAACCGGCUGCGGCUGUCGCUGCUGCUGGCCUCGCUUGCGGCGCUUCACGCUGUGACUGUGUGA
rnacentral:rRNA from 1 species